AUUGAACGCUGGCGGAAUGCUUUACACAUGCAAGUCGAACGGCAGCACGGACUUCGGUCUGGUGGCGAGUGGCGAACGGGUGAGUAAUGUAUCGGAACGUGCCCAGUCGUAGGGGAUAACGUAGUGAAAAUUACGCUAAUACCGCAUACGAUCUAUGGAUGAAAGCGGGGGAUCGCAAGACCUCGCGCGAUUGGAGCGGCCGAUAUCAGAUUAGGUAGUUGGUGGGGUAAAGGCCCACCAAGCCAACGAUCUGUAGCCGGUCUGAGAGGACGACCAGCCACACUGGAACUGAGACACGGUCCAGACUCCUACGGGAGGCAGCAGUGGGGAAUGUUGGACAAUGGGCGAAAGCCUGAUCCAGCCAUUCCGCGUGCAGGAUGAAGGCCCUCGGGUUGUAAACUGCUUUUGUACAGAACGAAAAGGUUUCUACUAAUACUAGGAGCUCAUGACGGUACCGUAAGAAUAAGCACCGGCUAACUACGUGCCAGCCGCCGCAGUAA
rnacentral:rRNA from 1 species